rnacentral:rRNA from 1 species
CCUACGGGAGGCAGCAGUAGGGAAUAUUGCUCAAUGGGGGAAACUCUGAAGCAGCAAUGCCGCGUGGAGGAAGACGGUUUUCGGAUUGUUAACCUCCUUUGUUAGAGAAGAUAAUGACGGUAUCUAACGAAUAAGCACCGGCUAACUCCGUGCCAGCAGCCGCGGUAAUACGGAGGGUGCAAGCGUUACUCGGAAUCACUGGGCGUAAAGAGCGCGUAGGCGGGAUAGCAAGUCAGAGGUGAAAUCCUAUGGCUUAACCAUAGAACUGCAUUUGAAACUGUUGGUCUAGAGUAUAGGAGGGGUAGGUGGAAUUCAUGGUGUAGGGGUAAAAUGCAUAGAGAUCA